rnacentral:lncRNA from 1 species
AAAUCUAACGCCCUGCUCAGUUCUAGAGGGGACAGCGCCCUCUGUCCUCCUGGCCGUUUUCCUGAACUCCUAACCUCAGUCAAUACUGCCUCGGGACCUGGCGCUGCCUGGGAGAUCCAGAAGAAAGGAAGCAUCUUGGCCCCUGCCUUGGGGGCGACACGACCGUCCCCAAACACAGCGAGUCACUGGCCUGGGUCUUUGUGCAGAGGCCCCUCUAGGAGCGGGGAACCAACGAUGGCACGAACAUUGAUUUGAGGAGGAUGCUUCGCAGUUUACGAAAAAAUGAGUGCUAGAGGCGUUCAGAAACGGGAAAGAUCACUUUGUGCUCCUGUGAUCUGAAGGCUGCGUGAAGAAGAUGAGGCUUGGAAAAUAGGUUCUGUCAGGUGAGCUGUUGUGCUGUAUGUCUGACCUGAAUUGCCUUUUAGGAGGGAAUCAGUACUUGGAAGCUGGAAUACAUCAGGGAUACCCCUAAAACGAGAGACUAUUUUUUUCCAUUGGAUUCUGACAUAAAUAAAUUUUGCCUACUUUGACAGUCAGUUCUGUCCUGAAUGUUGGGAAGAGGGAAGCCGUGUUCUGGGCUUUGAAGUCAUGCAGAUCUGGGUUCAAGUCCUGCCUCCACCACUUUCUGCUUGUGUGAUUCAGUGCCCAUUGCUUAACCUCUCAUGGAGUUGUGAGGAUUAAAUAAGAUGCAAGUAAAACACUUAGAAAGGUGCCUAGUAAAGAUUAAGAGCUUAAUAAUAGGAAUAGUAAUCAUGGGAAUAAAUAAAAUACAUUCAAACU